UUUUUGUUUUUUAUUACCGUAAGACCAAAUUGCAUUAUAUAUCUAAAACAACUCCUGGGUAGUAAAUUGUUGCUUAUUUAAAGUACCAGUUCGCCUUGUUGAGAAAACCAAAGUGGACAUCACAAUAAGAUUACGAUGAAGUGACAAAUUAUUUGUCUUUAGCUUUAUUUAGUUUGGAGUUAUCUGCAGCCUCGGUCUUUGGGUAUAACCUUAACUGUACACUCAGUGGUGUGAAAUUACUACCCUACUUUUGCUCAUAACCUCGUUGAAAUGGCCACCUUGUUAUAUUUUUUUUGUUCCAUGUAUUGCUUUGACAAAAGUCCCACGGGGACUGAACCAUUGAUUUUUUUUUCCAACAAUAUGAAAUGGCACUUUAAAUAGAUAAGCAUUUUAUUUUGGAAUAACUGAAGAUGCAGGAGUGCUCACUUUCUGGUGGACCUAUUCUAUAGUUCUUGUAAAGCACCUGGGUAAGAACUGGGUGGAACAAUUUCAUUUUAAUUCAAAAUGUAUAAAAAAAAAACUGUACAUAAACUUAUCAGGACCACAUGUUACACUGAAAUGAAAUGUUGACCUGGCAAUACAUUUUAAAAUAUUUGUAUUAAAAUGAAAGGUGAAAAAGGAAGGAGAUGGAUAUAUCUAAAGUAUUUUAAAACCAAACUUUAAAAUAGUAAUAAAACCCUUAAUAUUGCUGGUUAAAAAUAUACAGAUGGUCAAUAAAACCGUAUUAGAGAAUAAGAGAUAUAAAAAAAAAAAA